rnacentral:lncRNA from 1 species
GUCAGGCAGAGUGAUUCCAGCUACAUAGACAUCGACACUCUCCUCAUAGAGGUUUGCAAUCCCAAGCUGUUGUGAGGUAAGCCGACCAGAUGUAGAAGACCCUUCUCUGCAAAACUGGAAGAGAUGUCCCGGUGAUCACAAACCCUCAGUUACAGAAUUCAAAGGCACUGAAAUGGGUAAAACGCCAACUGAAGAUCUGGGAAAUUUACUAGCAAAAAUGAUCGGUGGAACUCGAAUAAACGCAACCAAAUGAAUCAAGUGAAGAAAUCAAUCCAUGACCCAGACAAAGAAGGCAGAGAAAAGUCAACAAAAUGGAUGGGAAAAUCAGUAAUAUUGAUGAAAAAAAAAAGCCAACAAAAAGAAAGAGAAUUCAUCAAAGAACUUGAGAUUAACAACAAAGCGAAGCUAAAUGCUGGAAAGGACCACAUUGGUCAAUCAGUUAGAAACACAGAGGAAAACAUCACCAGUAGAUUUAGGCAAGUACAAGAAAGAAGAGCAGAGGUUGAGGCAAAGGCUGAGAAAACACUACAUUCAAACAUCAACACUUUAAUCCAAAAAUAGUUAACUAUGAAACAGCAACCCCACCCACCUGAAAGUUAUAAACAGAAUGUUUAGAAUAGUAAACACCAGAGUGGAGGCUUGAAUGGCUUCCAUAAGGCUCAUAUAUUUGAGUGUCGGUCUUUGCAGCUGUAAUACCACCUUUGAUAUUACUACCAAGAAUGCUAGGUGUUAUAGAGGCUGAACAUACCUGCCCAGUGUACUGAUUCAUUUUUGUGUGUCGACUUGACACAAGCUGGAGUUAUCACAGAGAAAGGAGCCUCCCUUGAGGAAAUGCCUCCAUGAGAUCCAGCUGUAAGGUAUUUUCUCAAUUAGUGAUCAAGGGUGGGAGGUCCACUUGUGGGUGGUGCCAUCCCUGGGCUGGUAGUCCUGGGUUCUAUAAGAAAGCAAGCUGAGCAAGCC